UUAGUGGCGGACGGGUGAGUAACGCGUGAACAAUCUGCCCUGUACAAAGGAAUAGCCUCGGGAAACCGGGAUUAAAACCGUAUGACACUUUUUUGCCGCAUGGUAGUAAAGUCAAAUAUUUCAUAGGUAUGGGAUGAGUUCGCGUCUGAUUAGCUGGUUGGUAAGGUAACGGCUUACCAAGGCGACGAUCAGUAGCCGGCCUGAGAGGGUGAACGGCCACACUGGAACUGAGACACGGUCCAGACUCCUACGGGAGGCAGCAGUGGGGAAUAUUGCACAAUGGAGGGAACUCUGAUGCAGCGACGCCGCGUGAGUGAAGAAGGUCUUCGGAUCGUAAAACUCUGUCCUUGGUGAAGAAAAGGACGGUAGCCAAGGAGGAAGCCCCGGCUAACUACGUGCCAGCAGCCGCGGUAAUACGUAGGGGGCGAGCGUUGUCCGGAUUUACUGGGCGUAAAGGGUGAGUAGGCGGUUAUAUAUGUCAGGUGUAAAAGGCUAUGGCUUAACCAUGGUUAGCACUUGAAACUGUAUGACUUGAGUGCAGGAGAGGUAAGCGGAAUUCCUAGUGUAGCGGUGAAAUGCGUAGAUAUUAGGAGGAACACCAGUGGCGAAGGCGGCUUACUGGACUGUAACUGACGCUGAGUCACGAAAGCGUGGGUAGCAAACAGGAUUAGAUACCCUGGUAGUCCACGCUGUAAACGAUGAGUGCUAGGUGUUGGGUAGCGAUACUCAGUGCCGGAGUCAACACAAUAAGCACUCCGCCUGGGGAGUACGUACGCAAGUAUGAAACUCAAAGGAAUUGACGGGGACCCGCACAAGCAGCGGAGCAUGUGGUUUAAUUCGAAGCAACGCGAAGAACCUUACCAAGGCUUGACAUCCCCUUGACAGGUACAGAGAUGUACAAUCAUUUUCGAAUGCAAGGGAGACAGGUGGUGCAUGGUUGUCGUCAGCUCGUGUCGUGAGAUGUUGGGUUAAGUCCCGCAACGAGCGCAACCCUUAUCCUUAGUUGCCAGCAAGUAAAGUUGGGCACUCUAAGGAGACUGCCGGUGAUAAACCGGAGGAAGGUGGGGAUGACGUCAAAUCAUCAUGCCCCUUAUGUCUUGGGCUACACACGUGCUACAAUGGUCGGUACAACGGGAAGCGAAGAAGUGAUUUGGAGCAAAUCCCAAUAAACCGAUCCCAGUUCGGAUUGCAGGCUGCAACUCGCCUGCAUGAAGUCGGAGUUGCUAGUAAUCGCGAAUCAGAACGUCGCGGUGAAUGCGUUCCCGGGUCU
rnacentral:rRNA from 1 species